GUGCCAGCAGCCGCGGUAAUACAGAGGGUGCAAGCGUUAAUCGGAUUUACUGGGCGUAAAGCGUGCGUAGGCGGUUCGUUAAGUCGAUUGUGAAAGCCCUGGGCUCAACCUAGGAAUUGCAGUCGAUACUGGCGGGCUAGAGAACGGUAGAGGGAGGCGGAACUCCAGGUGUAGCAGUGAAAUGCGUAGAUAUCUGGAAGAACACCGAUGGCGAAGGCAACCUCCUGGGCCUGUUCUGACGCUGAGGCACGAAAGCGUGGGGAGCAAACAGGAUUAGAUACCCGAGUAGUCC
rnacentral:rRNA from 1 species